UCUUUCAAAAUAAUUUAUACAUAAUUUAUUAUAUAUAGGAAAAUCAUGUAUAUAAAAAUAUAAAAGUCAUACGAAUAAUAAUUGGAGUUGCAUCCCUGACUGCUACCGUAUCCUGCAUUGUCAUGCUGAAGAUUCUUGCAGUUGAUUCUGUUGGUUUGUUUGUUGAAGUUGGUCUCGUUGUUGCCAGCGUCCCGCUACUUUUCCCCGUAUUCACGCUUCCUGCCUUCAUUCUCCUUUUUGGACAGUCCUUCACCUUAUGCUCCGUUGAUCCACUAAAUCCUGGCAGUACGACUGCCUUGAAGUCUUUGUGACACCCCCAAAUCCGGGUACUUCAUUUCCACCGAAUUUGGUGCUCACUAUUACAAUAAUUACAUCUAAUUACCCAUAAUAAAGGAUAAAACAUUAAAUAACUUUAAACAAUAAUCUUUCCCAUUAAAGGGUUACAUCAUCAUCUCAAAAAUAAUCCCAGGUAAUCUAACCUUAAAAUUAUUACAUCAAUUUGUGGAAUACAUUAUAAAAUAAAACAAGUCUUAAAACUUCAAGCAUUUAAAUAAACUUUAACUAAUUCUUCACCACUUAGACAUCUUUCCCUUUCCCUUGCUAGUAGAUGGCUCAUCACCUCUUUCGACUUUAGCUGCAUUGUUUAAUUGCAAGAGUGAGCAAACAAUUGCUCACUGACAUAAAGAUAGUAUAACAACAACAUGAUAGUGAACAACGAAUACUGAAUAAUAAAGAACUUGUUCUACGAAUCAAAAUAGAAAACAAGUUCGAACUUUAAUUAUCUAAGGGUCUUAAGACCACGAACUAUGUCCACGGUGUCUAGGUAUUAUUACCUUAACCUUAACAGUCAUUAGACUGUACAGACUCUUCUUCACGAACUCAAGGGGAGCCCUUUGUACCAUGUAUUGUGCACAAACAUCUAAACGUUACACGUACAAAAUCCCCUAUUUAGGGUUGUUCGUCUUAGUUUGAAUUUAGAAUUUCCGCACUAAAGAAAGUUUAGUUUGGAACUAGCUUAUCAGUGUUUCUAGAAUUUUAGAACAAUUAUUCAAUUUCCAUCAAUAAAGGUUUAAUACGAGAAUGUAUAACUAAACAAGGCUAUUAAAGUUAAAGAUCGGAUAUCAACAAUAUAUAUAACUGAAUAACGUGAUAUAUAUAUACCAAGUGCUAUAUUCAAAGGAGUUUAGAACAAUCUUCUAUGAAUCAAUGUGUUAGAACAAUAUAUGCUUUGAAUGAUAAUAAGGAAAGUAAAGCUUGCUCGAUGUAACGAAUUAGGUUACAAGAGCUUGCACAAAUAUAUUCAAGAUAGAUUAGGCUUGCUCAAUUUUAAAAAUUUGUACAAUAAUAAUAUAGGAAUGGAAACUUGCAUUCAAUAUGAAAAGAAUGAAGUUAGAAAACUUGCUCAAACAUAAG
rnacentral:lncRNA from 1 species